GUGACGGCCGCUUCCUCCGUGCCUGUCGUUUGUAUGAUUCAGAAUACGCAGAUUGGCUGAUGCUGACCCCCUUGCUGCUGCGGUCUGUCUAUUUCAGGUACAACGCGAAGCGCAGGCACUGGCGCCGCACCAAGCUCGGCUUCUGAGCGAGGGGAUGGACCGCCUGCUGCGUCGGUAGGCUAGGGUUUAAGAGCUAUCUUAUGUUUUAUGGGUGUUUCAGUGUUUCUGCAAGAUAGGAAGUGAUUCCAGGAUGCUUUUAUUA
rnacentral:lncRNA from 1 species